rnacentral:rRNA from 1 species
AGCUACUAAGAGCGAAUGGUGGAUGCCUUGACUGGUAAAGGCGAUGAAGGACGUACUAGACUGCGAUAAGCUACGGGGAGCUGUCAAGAAGCUUUGAUCCGUAGAUUUCCGAAUGGGGCAACCCAAUGUAUAGAGAUAUACAUUACCUAUAUAGGAGCGAACGAGGGGAAUUGAAACAUCUUAGUACCCUCAGGAAAAGAAAUCAAUAGAGAUUGCGUCAGUAGCGGCGAGCGAAAGCGCAAGAGGGCAAACCCAGUGCUUGCACUGGGGGUUGUAGGACUGCAAUGUGCAAGAGCUGAGUUUAGCAGAACAUUCUGGAAAGUAUAGCCAUAGAGGGUGAUAGUCCCGUAUGCGAAAAACAAAGCUUAGCUAGCAGUAUCCUGAGUAGGGCGGGACACGAGGAAUCCUGUCUGAAUCCGGGUCGACCACGAUCCAACCCUAAAUACUAAUACCAGAUCGAUAGUGCACAAGUACCGUGAGGGAAAGGUGAAAAGAACUGAGGUGAUCAGAGUGAAAUAGAACCUGAAACCAUUUGCUUACAAUCAUUCAGAGCACUAUGUAGCAAUACAGUGUGAUGGACUGCCUUUUGCAUAAUGAGCCUGCGAGUUGUGGUGUCUGGCAAGGUUAAGCAAACGCGAAGCCGUAGCGAAAGCGAGUCUGAAUAGGGCGCUUAGUCAGAUGCUGCAGACCCGAAACGAAGUGAUCUAUCCAUGAGCAAGUUGAAGCUAGUGUAAGAACUAGUGGAGGACUGAACCCAUAGGCGUUGAAAAGCCCCGGGAUGACUUGUGGAUAGGGGUGAAAGGCCAAUCAAACUUCGUGAUAGCUGGUUCUCUCCGAAAUAUAUUUAGGUAUAGCGUUGUGUCGUAAUAUAAGGGGGUAGAGCACUGAAUGGGCUAGGGCAUACACCAAUGUACCAAACCCUAUCAAACUCCGAAUACCUUAUAUGUAAUCACAGCAGUCAGGCGGCGAGUGAUAAAAUCCGUCGUCAAGAGGGAAACAACCCAGACUACCAGCUAAGGUCCCUAAAUCUUACUUAAGUGGAAAACGAUGUGAAGUUACUUAAACAACCAGGAGGUUGGCUUAGAAGCAGCCAUCCUUUAAAGAAAGCGUAAUAGCUCACUGGUCUAGUGAUUUUGCGCGGAAAAUAUAACGGGGCUAAAGUAAGUACCGAAGCUGUAGACUUGCGCACAACUUAGAUUAUUUAAGUUUAGAAUAUGAGAAACUAAGUUAUGUUUAGUUAUAUUUUUACUGAUUUUUAUAGAGUAAAGAUAGAAAUAAAACUUAGUAAAAUCAGUAAAAAUAUUCUUAGGCUAAAGUUAAGUAGUUUAAGUUGUGUGCAAGUGGUAGGAGAGCGUUCUAUUUGCGUCGAAGGUAUACCGGUAAGGAGUGCUGGAGCGAAUAGAAGUGAGCAUGCAGGCAUGAGUAGCGAUAAUUAAUGUGAGAAUCAUUAACGCCGUAAACCCAAGGUUUCCUACGCGAUGCUCGUCAUCGUAGGGUUAGUCGGGUCCUAAGUCGAGUCCGAAAGGGGUAGACGAUGGCAAAUUGGUUAAUAUUCCAAUACCAACAUUAGUGUGCGAUGGAAGGACGCUUAGGGCUAAGGGGGCUAGCGGAUGGAAGUGCUAGUCUAAGGUCGUAGGAGGUUAUACAGGCAAAUCCGUAUAACAAUACUCCGAGAACUGAAAGGCUUUUUGAAGUCUUCGGAUGGAUAGAAGAACCCCUGAUGCCGUCGAGCCAAGAAAAGUUUCUAAGUUUAGCUAAUGUUGCCCGUACCGUAAACCGACACAGGUGGGUGGGAUGAGUAUUCUAAGGCGCGUGGAAGAACUCUCUUUAAGGAACUCUGCAAAAUAGCACCGUAUCUUCGGUAUAAGGUGUGGUUAGCUUUGUAUUAGGAUUUACUCCGAAAGCAAGGAAACUUACAACAAAGAGUCCCUCCCGACUGUUUACCAAAAACACAGCACUCUGCUAACUCGUAAGAGGAUGUAUAGGGUGUGACGCCUGCCCGGUGCUCGAAGGUUAAUUGAUGGGGUUAGCAUUAGCGAAGCUCUUGAUCGAAGCCCGAGUAAACGGCGGCCGUAACUAUAACGGUCCUAAGGUAGCGAAAUUCCUUGUCGGUUAAAUACCGACCUGCAUGAAUGGCGUAACGAGAUGGGAGCUGUCUCAAAGAGGGAUCCAGUGAAAUUGUAGUGGAGGUGAAAAUUCCUCCUACCCGCGGCAAGACGGAAAGACCCCGUGGACCUUUACUACAGCUUGACACUGCUACUUGGAUAAGAAUGUGCAGGAUAGGUGGGAGGCUUUGAGUAUAUGACGCCAGUUGUAUAUGAGCCAUUGUUGAGAUACCACUCUUUCUUAUUUGGGUAGCUAACCAGCUUGAGUUAUCCUC